UACGUAGGUGACAAGCGUUGUCCGGAUUUACUGGGCGUAAAGAGCGCGCAGGCGGUCGAUCAAGUCGGGUGUGAAAGCCCCCGGCUCAACUGGGGAGGGUCAUUCGAUACUGAUCGACUCGAAGGCAGGAGAGGGUAGUGGAAUUCCCGGUGUAGUGGUGAAAUGCGUAGAUAUCGGGAGGAACACCAGUGGCGAAGGCGGCUUUCUGGCCUGUUCUUGACGCUGAGGCGCGAAAGCUAGGGGAGCGAACGGG
rnacentral:rRNA from 1 species